CCCAGGCACACCCGACACACCCCGUGCGCACACCUAUAGAAGUGAGGAAUGGGGGAGACAGCCUACAUGAAGAGUCAGCAAGGAGCAGGAAGGUAAGGUAAGAAAAGGAGAAGGAACAGAAAUUAGCAGGAAGGGACAUCAAGGAGCAGAAAGGGGCAGCAAGGAGCUGGAAGGGACAGCAAGGAGCACAAAAGGUAAAAUAGGAGAAGGAGCACAAAGGAACAGAAAUGAACAGGAAGGGGCAGCAAGGAUCUGGAAGGUAAAGCAGCACAAAGGUAAAGUAGAAGGAGCAGAAAGG